rnacentral:rRNA from 1 species
UACGUAGGGUGCAAGCGUUGUCCGGAAUUAUUGGGCGUAAAGAGCUCGUAGGUGGCCUGUCGCGUCGGCUGUGAAAACUCGGGGCUCAACUCCGAGCUUGCAGUCGAUACGGGCAGGCUAGAGUUCGGCAGGGGAGACUGGAAUUCCUGGUGUAGCGGUGAAAUGCGCAGAUAUCAGGAGGAACACCGGUGGCGAAGGCGGGUCUCUGGGUCGAUACUGACACUGAGGAGCGAAAGCGUGGGGAGCGAACAGG